AAGUCGUAACAAGGUUUCCGUAGGUGAACCUGCGGAAGGAUCAUUAUCGUACAAUGGAGGUGCUGGGGUUGUCGCUGACUUUUGAAAGGGUCGUGCACACCUCGGUGCUCUCGCAUAUAAUCCAUCUCACCCCUUUUGUGCAUCACCGCGUGGGGACCCCUUUUGGCUAGUUCUGAGGGGGGUUUUCACGUUUUUACACAGACACCCUUUUAAUGCAAUGUGUAGAAUGUCUUACCUUUUGCGAUCACACGCAAUCAAUACAACUUUCAACAACGGAUCUCUUGGCUCUC
rnacentral:misc_RNA from 1 species